GAGUGUCCUGCCUGUCUUGCAAAACUUACUUGGCUUAAGCAUAUUUUUGAUUGAAAAACAUCAGUGCUGCUCUAUUUUCUGAGACCGAGGAGCAACAUUCCACAACCAGGGCCACAUGUCAAGAGUGGAGUUUGUGACUAACCCUCUCAGCAUUGCCCCUUCUGUUCGCAGGCACCACUUCUAUGAACCAGUGGGAGGAAGCAGGAACACAUUGUUCCCAUUUCACUGUAGCUUGAGAAGAGAGAAAAGAGGCAAAUGAGGGGUUUAGACUGAAUUAAUUAAGCCCAACACAUUUCUGUGGAAAAUUUAAAGGUGUGAAUGUUUGAGAAGUUUAGAUGAACAUUUUAGAUUCACACCCCCAUCUCCACCUGUUGAAAUAUUUCUCCUUUUAGGCUUCUCUCCAAAGCUACUUUUCCCUGAAGACUUCCUGGAUUCCCAUAAAAUGGGGUUCAGCCGCCCCUAAUGCCCGUGGCCAUUUUGUGGGAGGGAAUCCUGCUUAAAACACUGCUUUGCCCAAGGACUGUGAUUGGACUUGAUCAAGACUCUUGACUGCAGAAGAAGUCUACGAAUACGAUUUAAUUGUAAAUCAUGGCUAAAGAACUUGCCAGCAGACACUUGGCCUGCCAAUGGUAGCACUGGAUGUGCGGUGCUGGCUUGGGACAGGUGAUGAAGGAUGGUGGCUUCCUGGGACCAUGCUGCCCAAGACGGAUGGACCCACGGAAGCAGAUGAUGCCUCUUGAGUUAUUCAGUGAAGUACUUGUAUGCUGUCAUUUAAACCUAUGUUUCAUCAACCAGUACAAGCCAUAUGGCCAAAGCCAGCACCAAUGAUGUAGAAGAGCUCUGCCUACUAUAGUUGGUGUUACUAAAAAGUCACAUGACAAAGUAAGUGGCUAUAUAAUUCUAUGAUUGAGUGGGCAUAAGAAUGGACGACAACAAUUUCUCCUACCACAGUCCAUCUACUCUUUGAUCUAUUUUUUUUACAUGCAAAAUACACUUACUCUUACAGAAGGCAUGCCAAAGUCUCAUCCAUUUAUGACAUCUGGGAUUUCAUUUAUAUUCAUUUUGCAUUUGGUUGCUCUUGACUGAGAGAACAGUGAAUUUAAAGACAAUUAUUUCCCCUUACUCACCUGGCAUGCAGUGAUGGAACAGAGACAGGUUAAUUUACACAAGUAUAUGCAUUCAGAAUGGGGAUGAAGAGAAGGUACAUGACUGUCAUUGAUUCGUAGCAAUACUCAAAUCCUGUGGGCAAUAUUGCCUGGCUUCUUUACCCUGGGAGUAGAGUAUUUGCCUUUAUUAGCCUGCACUUUACUCCCUGGGAAUGGAUUCCCAUUUUGUUGUUCUCUAUGGCUCUUGACUCUACUCUCUGGAAAGUUCUUUCUUGAUCAUCAUGUUCCUUAGCCACUUCUGAAGCAGAAAUGAAGAACAUGCUACCUCAGUCUGCUUCCUGCCAGUAGAACGUUGGAGAAAACAAACUCUUAUAUUUUAAAUGGUUAUAGAAUUAAGCCUGGCUGACAGCGCUUUUGGCAAUUCAUUAACUUCUAAAAAGGACACAGAAUACAGAAACCUACACUUAUCACAAUGUAAUAAUGCUAGUACAUAAUUAAAAUAAAGACUGAAAUGAAAAAGCCUCUAUUGGUUGGAAAUUUAAAAAUUCCCUCUUAAAAGAACGUCUAGCUAUUAUAUGUCAGAACCUAGGGCUUCCAUUAAAGGAGUCACAGUAGAUCCUUUCAUUUGCAUAAAACGGCUCCUAAAGUCUGUGGAUAUUAUCUUUGCUUUUCCCAAAGUACAUAUAAUUAAUUCUGGGGAGAGAAGGAUAUCUGAAAAAGAAAUAUGAGCCUGGCUAACAACACAAUAGGGAUCAAAUAUUUAGAAAACUCAUGAAGUUUUAGAGAGACUUGGAUUAUGGUUAAUGUUCUAUGAACAUUUGUUCCAUGUUUUUUGGUGUAUAAAUAUUAAAAACUGCUGUAUCUUCUGUUCAGAGUGCCUGCCUUAUUCUCAGUGAGUGCUAAUUGCCCCCAAAUCCUAUCUUGUUUAAAACUGUAAAAAUUAAAAUGGUGACCCGCUCCUCUUCUUCCACCUUUUCAUCUUCAUGGUCCUUUGCUUAUUGUUGAAUACGUAUUCCUACUUGGCUCUGCCUUUGGCCACAUUUCCUUCUAUUUGAUGGUGUAGUUUUCUCUUGCCUGGUUUCAUUACAAAUGGAGUGUGAAUUUUUUUUCUCUCUUAUUCUUCCUGUGGCUUUCCAGUGAUUCCCAAGAAGAUAAGAAAAUAUUUUGACUUUACUCUCUUUAAACUGGAAGUUCAACUUUGGAAUUGUAAAGACAGAUGGGCUUUAUGACAACCUUUUGCAAUGUACUGAUGAUAGUUUUGAUUAACUAAGACAAUUUCAAGGGCAGUAUAAUGACCAAUAUUUUGAUCUUACUGAGAAAGAAAGAGGGCAUUAAAAUAAUUAUUUCUGGAUGUGUUGUCUAAAAAACUAUCAGAUAAUCUCAAAAUUGCAUAUGGAAUAUCUCCAAAGAAGUUUUUCUGACAUCCUUAACAAUGCUUCAAAUGUUCAUUCCUCAUGUGAUUUUUAAAAGGCAUUAUAUAAAAGGAAAAUAAUAUAAAUAACACGUGGAAGAAAUUCCAUGCUACUGAAGUAAACUGAAGCCAAUUUAAUGUGAAUGAAUUCUGGUUUGCCUUGUAUAAUCAACCUUAGAUAGAACUUGAAAGUUUUAUACCAGGAAUGUUAAUUUACACCAUGAAUGCUAGUUGAUUAAGUGAGAAGUUUGUGGUAAUUUUUUAUAGAAGUUUGGGUAUUAAAUUUUCAUCAAGAAUUACUUCCUUGAUUAAACUAUUGUUAUUAAGGAGGAAAUAAGAUUGGACCUGAGUCAUUUUGAAUCCAGGCAUGUAACUCUGUAAAAACAUAAACACUUCCUUUAUUUGAUGCUGUUCCAUUAAAAUAAUUUUUGUGCUGGACAAAGAGAAUGAUAUUGAAAGAGUAUUUUAUUUUAUAUAUUUUUAUUUUUUAAAAAAGUUUAUUUAUUUAUUUGAGAGAGAGACAAAGAGAGUGAACAAGUGGAGGGGCAGAGGGAGAGGGAAGCAAACAGACUCCCACUGAGCACAGAGCCUAUGUGGUGCUGGAUCCUAGGACCCUGAGAUCAGGACCUGAGCCAAAAUCAAGAGUCAGAUGCUGAACCGACUGAGCCACCCAGGUACCUCAAUAAUUUUUAUCUUAAAAUAUUUUGAUGCUUACCUAGAGUUUUGGAGUGUAGGUUUUCA
rnacentral:lncRNA from 1 species